rnacentral:misc_RNA from 1 species
UACUCUUGUUGUUCCAAAGCUGGACCAAAAAUCCUUUUGGAAGGAUGCAAGUAAUUUUGCAGAUAUUUUUGAUGUUGAUUGGUUUAUCAAAUCUUUAUCAAAUGAUGUCAAAAUCAUAAAAAAUCUCCCAAGAAGGGGAGGGAAAACUUGGACUCCACGUAACAUGCGUGUUCCAAGGAAGUGUAGUGAGAGAUGUUAUCAAAAUCGUGUAUUACCUGUUCUUUUGAAAAGGCAUGUAAGUUCUCAGUUCUCCUCAACUUUUUCUUCUUGUUCUUCUCCUUCUUCUUCUUCUUUUUACUUUUUUUUUUAAUUGCUUUAUAUAUUUUGAUCAUGUGUUACAAAAUUGCAUGUGUUCUGCUUAGUUAUGUUUAUAUCCUACAUUCUCACUACCACUCUCUAAUAUCACUCCUACCUAAAACAAAAUAAAAUCAAUAUCACUACUACGUUUUGAAGAACAUACUUGAGAAAUUCUAGCAUUGAAAUAUGUAUAUCAAAUGUACAUAAUCAAAUACAAGCAAUCUUAUGGCUUUGACAUUACGACUUUUCUCUAAUCUCUAUUUUCCUCAAAUCCUGAGUUUGUAUUGACAUUUAUAUACACCUUGCAAUUCAGUGUACUGGCAUUUGAAAUCAUGGAUUGAUUUAACUAAUUUUUCAUGGUUGGUGUUGGUACAUUUUGUCUUGUGUUGAAUGAUUAGCUUAUUAUUUUAGAAAUGACAUUGCUUCUCUUAAUUAUGUGACAGGCAAUUCAGCUGACCAAGUUUGAUUACAGGCUUGCAAACAAGUUGGACACACAAUUGCAAAAGUUGAGAUGUAGAGUUAACUACCAUGCUUUGAAGUUUACAAGUCCUAUUCUUAAAAUGGGCAAGACAUUAGUCCACAGGAUGAGGAUGAAAAGCAAGCAUUUUAUUGCCUUGCAUCUUAGGUAUGAACCUGAUAUGUUGGCAUUCUCAGGAUGCUAUUAUGGUGGAGGUGAUCGGGAAAGGGAAGAACUAGGUGCCAUACGGAAGAGGUGGAAAACUUUACAUAUUAGAAACCCUGACAAGGAAAGGAGGCAUGGAAAAUGCCCUCUCACUCCAAAGGAAGUUGGUCUCAUGUUGAGAGCAUUGGGUUAUGGCAGUGAUGUUCAUAUUUAUGUGGCCUCUGGAGAAGUAUACAAAGGGGAAGAAUCAUUGGCUCCUCUAAAGGCACUCUUCCCGAACUUCUAUACUAAGGAGACUAUAGCCAAAAAGGAGGAGCUGGAACCAUUUUCUUCAUUUUCUUCCCGAAUGGCUGCACUUGACUUUAUUGUUUGUGAUGAAAGUGAUGUAUUUGUUACUAACAACAACGGUAAUAUGGCUAGAAUAUUAGCUGGGCGGAGGAAAUAUUUUGGACACAAACCCACCAUUCGCCCAAAUGCUAAAAAACUUUAUCGUUUGUUCUUGAACGAAGGUAACAUAACAUGGGACGUGUUUGUAUCUAAAGUGCGAAGUUACCAGCGGGGCUUCAUGGGGGAGCCAAAGGAAGUUAGGCCAGGCAGGGGAGAGUUUCAUGAGAACCCGCACACCUGCAUCUGUGAAGAUUCUGAAGCCAAGGCAAAGAAAGAUUCAGGACCUAGAAAGUACGGAAAAGGGUAUAAUGUAACUGGAGAGGAUAGCACAAAUGAUGAUCUAAAUGUUGAUGAUGAGCCAGAACUGUCUGAACCUGAUAAUGAUGGUGAUCAAGAAGGUACUCUGGAGGAUGAUCCACUCAAUGGUACAGGUUUGGAUUACGAGGGAUUCAACUCUGAGGAACCAGAAUUAGAAGAAAUUGUUUCAGACUGACUGGGCUACAAUAGAUUUCUGCCGUGUGCAAUCAAUUAUUUCCAAACUUCCAUUCCUUGUGUUGGGUCUUGAUGCUGCACAUUGUCAGUGUCAUUAACGGUCUGUACAUAACACUGCUAGGAUAGAUGGGGGAAAAGAACCCUUUGAGGGGGCAUCAUCCCAUUCAUCAGCAAGAUAUGGGCCUUGAGUUGAGGAUGAUAACUUUCAUUGAGCCUUCUGCCUCGUUGGCUGUGAAAUUCAAGGAAUGGAUCUUAGACGGGUCUUGGAGGAUGAUUUUUGGAAUUGAGCUUUUUGUCUGACUGCUUGUUAAGAUGCUGAAGGGCGCACUUAAUUGGACCCAUUUCUUUGUAAAAUAGAAAAAGACGAAAAAAGGGCAUAUGAAAAAAGAUCAAGCUCUAUCUCAUCUGUUUAUCACCAAAAAAAUUAUCA